CAGCUCUGGUUUCUCCCCACGCGCACAAGUCUUUCGCCUUUUACUACAAAGACUUCCGUGGAGAGGAACAAACAUGAGUUGAAUAUAUUUUGGCAGGCUUUGCUGUAUAUGGCUG